rnacentral:rRNA from 1 species
UACGGAGGAUGCGAGCGUUAUCCGGAUUUAUUGGGUUUAAAGGGUGCGUAGGCGGGAUGCCAAGUCAGCGGUAAAAAUGCGGUGCUCAACGCCGUCGAGCCGUUGAAACUGGCGUUCUUGAGUGGGCGAGAAGUAUACGGAAUGCGUGGUGUAGCGGUGAAAUGCAUAGAUAUCACGCAGAACUCCGAUUGCGAAGGCAGCAUACCGGCGCCCUACUGACGCUGAGGCACGAAAGCGUGGGUAUCGAACAGG